rnacentral:rRNA from 1 species
UACGUAGGGGGCGAGCGUUGUCCGGAAUCAUUGGGCGUAAAGGGCGCGUAGGCGGUCAGCACAAGUCAGUUGUGAAAUCUCCGGGCUUAACUCGGAAAGGUCAACUGAUACUGUGCGACUAGAGUGCAGAAGGGGCAACUGGAAUUCUCGGUGUAGCGGUGAAAUGCGUAGAUAUCGAGAGGAACACCUGCGGCGAAGGCGGGUUGCUGGCUGACACUGACGCUGAUGCGCGAAAGCCAGGGGAGCGAACGGG